UAAGGAAUAUUGGUCAAUGGACGCAAGUCUGAACCAGCCAUGCCGCGUGGAGGAUUAAGGCCCUCUGGGUUGUAAACUCCUUUUAUCUGGGAAGAAAUGCUUUGAUUCUUCAGAGCUUGACGGUACCAGAGGAAUAAGCACCGGCUAACUCCGUGCCAGCAGCCGCGGUAAUACGGAGGGUGCAAGCGUUAUCCGGAUUCACUGGGUUUAAAGGGUGCGUAGGCGGACAGAUAAGUCAGUGGUGAAAUCUCCGAGCUUAACUCGGAAACUGCCGUUGAUACUAUUUGUCUUGAAUAUUGUGGAGGUAAGCGGAAUAUGUCAUGUAGCGGUGAAAUGCUUAGAUAUGACAUAGAACACCAAUUGCGAAGGCAGCUUACUACACAAUGAUUGACGCUGAGGCACGAAAGCGUGGGGAUCAAACAGGAUUAGAUACCCCCGUAGUCC
rnacentral:rRNA from 1 species